AUCCAGCUGACGAGUCCCAAACAGGACGAAACGUGCAUCAAACUGGAU
rfam:Schistosoma curassoni strain Dakar, Senegal genome assembly, scaffold: SCTD_scaffold0000645